UGGGGAAUAUUGCACAAUGGGCGAAAGCCUGAUGCAGCAACGCCGCGUGAGUGAUGAAGGCCUUCGGGUUGUAAAGCUCUGUCUUUUGGGACGAUAAUGACGGUACCAAAGGAGGAAGCCACGGCGAACUACGUGCCAGCAGCCGCGGUAAUACGUAGGUGGCGAGCGUUGUCCGGAUUUACUGGGAGUAAAGGAUGCGUAGGCGGAUAUUUAAGUGAGAUGUGAAAUACCCGAGCUUAACUUGGGUGCUGCAUUUCAAACUGGAUAUCUAGCGUGCGGGAGAGGAGAAUGGAACUCCUAGUGUAGCGGUAAAAUGCGUAGAGAUUAGGAAGAACACCAGUGGCGAAGGCGAUUCUCUGGACCGUAACUGACGCUGAGGCAUG
rnacentral:rRNA from 1 species